AUUGAACGCUGGCGGCAUGCUUUACACAUGCAAGUCGAACGGCAGCGCGGGCUUCGGCCUGGCGGCGAGUGGCGAACGGGUGAGUAAUGCACCGGAACGUGCCCAGCAGUGGGGGAGAGCACGGCGAAAGACGGAUUAAUACCGCAUACGACCUGAGGGUGAAAGCGGGGGGCCGAAAGGCCUCGCGCUAUUGGGGCGGCCGAUGUCGGAUUAGCUAGUUGGUGGGGUAAAGGCUUACUAAGGCGACGAUCCGUAGCUGGUCUGAGAGGACGACCAGCCACACUGGGACUGAGACACGGCCCAGACUCCUACGGGAGGCAGCAGUGGGGAAUGUUGGACAAUGGGGGCAACCCUGAUCCAGCCAUGCCGCGUGCGGGAAGAAGGCCUUCGGGUUGUAAAGCGCUUUUGUUCGGGAAGAAAUCCUCUGGGCUAAUACCCCGGGGGGAUGACGGUACCGGAAGAAUAAGCACCGGCUAACUACGUG
rnacentral:rRNA from 1 species